rnacentral:snRNA from 1 species
GUGCUUGCUUCGGCAGCACAUAUACUAAAAUUGGAACAAGAGAGAGAAGAUUAGCAUGGCCCCUGCACAAGGAUGACAUGCAAAAUUCAUGACACAUUCCAUAUAAAA